rnacentral:rRNA from 1 species
CCUACGGGAGGCUGCAGUGGGGAAUAUUGCACAAUGGGGGGAACCCUGAUGCAGCGACGCCGCGUGAGUGAAGAAGUAUUUCGGUAUGUAAAGCUCUAUCAGCAGGAACGAGACAAGACGGUACCUGACUAAGAAGCCCCGGCUAACUACGUGCCAGCAGCCGCGGUAAUACGUAGGGGGCAAGCGUUAUCCGGAAUCACUGGGUGUAAAGGGAGCGUAGACGGCUGAGCAAGCCUGAAGUGAAAGGCGGGGGCCCAACCCCCGGACUGCUUUGGGAACUGUACGGCUGGAGUACAGGAGAGGUAAGUGGAAUUCCUAGUGUAGCGGUGAAAUGCGUAGAUAUUAGGAGGAACACCAGUGGCGAAGGCGGCUUACUGGACUGUAACUGACGUUGAGGCUCGAAAGCGUGGGGAGCAAACAGGAUUAGAUACCCGUGUAGUC